rnacentral:lncRNA from 1 species
AAUAUCUUGUUUGAAAUAUCAUUUUUCAGAAUGCUCUACUUUCUUUGGUUUGAACCUUUCCUUUUACUUUCUUUUACCUCACCUUACCCCUAGCCCCAUUACAACCGGAAAAUAAGACCUUUUGAUUCAUGCAUUGCUUGUAAUAUGUUAGUAAUGGAGAUAAGAUUGAAGAGCAAGCUUAUGGUAGAUUAUAUUCAUUGAUUGAAUUUGAGAGAUUUAAACACAUAAGCCCUAAACACGUGAGUGUUGGAGUGUAUAUCAAUGAGAGGAC